GAUGAACGCUGGCGGUGUGCCUAACACAUGCAAGUCGAGCGAACGGACCAGCAGCAUGCUUUUAUGAUGUUAGCGGAGGACGGGUGGGUAACCCGUGGCUAACCUACCUCUUAGACUGGGACAACUACGGGAAACCGGCGCUAAUACCGCAGAAUAUUUUGAACCGCAUGGUUCCAUAGUGCAAGACGGUCUUGCUGUCACUUCUCGCUGGAUCCGCGCUGCAUUAGCUAGUUGGUAAGGUAACGGCUUACCAAGGCAACGAUGCAUAGCCGACCUGAGAGGGUGAUCGGCCACACCUGAACGGAUACACGGUCCAGACUCCUACGGGAGGCAGCAGUAGGGAAUCUGCCGCAAUGGGCGAAAGCCUGACGGAGCAACGCCGCGUGAGUGAUGAAGGUCUUCGGAGCGUAAAACUCUGUGAUUAGGGAAGAACAUAGGUGUAAGUAACUGUGCACAUCUUGACGGUACCUAAUCAGAAAGCCACGGCUAACUACGUG
rnacentral:rRNA from 1 species